AUAGGGUGAUCUGGCCUUGAAAUCUGCCACCCCAUUGAUUAACAGGGUUAAUUCCUCUGGUCUAGCCCUCAGGUUUCCCCUUCCUACCUCACUGCUCUGUGUGUGUCCUUCUUGAAGCUGUGUGGUGUGUCAUGGAGGACGACAUGCCAGUAGAGGAAGACCAGUCUUUAGUCAAGGGUAUACCUGUCAAGUAACUGCACUCCCCUGCUAAAAUCUCUAAACAAGCUCUCAAGGUUCAAAAGUAGAAGAUUUUUAUACUGCUUGGAACUAAAUAGGAUGGUCCU
rnacentral:snRNA from 1 species